CCUACGGGAGGCUGCAGUGGGGAAUAUUGCACAAUGGGCGCAAGCCUGAUGCAGCCAUGCCGCGUGUGUGAAGAAGGCCUUCGGGUUGUAAAGCACUUUCAGCGGGGAGGAAGGCGGUGAGGUUAAUAACCUCAUCGAUUGACGUUACCCGCAGAAGAAGCACCGGCUAACUCCGUGCCAGCAGCCGCGGUAAUACGGAGGGUGCAAGCGUUAAUCGGAAUUACUGGGCGUAAAGCGCACGCAGGCGGUCUGUCAAGUCGGAUGUGAAAUCCCCGGGCUCAACCUGGGAACUGCAUUCGAAACUGGCAGGCUAGAGUCUUGUAGAGGGGGGUAGAAUUCCAGGUGUAGCGGUGAAAUGCGUAGAGAUCUGGAGGAAUACCGGUGGCGAAGGCGGCCCCCUGGACAAAGACUGACGCUCAGGUCCGAAAGCGUGGGGAGCAAACAGGAUUAGAUACCCGAGUAGUC
rnacentral:rRNA from 1 species